rnacentral:piRNA from 1 species
GCCUUAUUUCUUCAUGCCACCUGGAAAGGGU